ensembl:lncRNA
CGACAUCUAGCGGCCACGGGGGGGAACUACACGCUGCUGCCAGGCGGUUAUUUCCAGCGUCGGUGGUGCAGCAGAGCAGAUCCUGAUCUGACCGCAGCUCGGCCCCACACACACACACACACACACACACACACACACACACACACUCAGCCCAUCUGUCUGUCUGACUGUCUGUCUGUACGGACACCGCAGGCAGUCUGAUCGCGCACACAGCAGACAGGACUGCACGACCAUGAGCUCGGCGUUUUCCUGACGGCCUCCCUCCUCUCACAUCCUGCAGCUGAAAUCUGUGUGAUCUGUCCAUUCAGAGCAGAGGAGGAGGGGAAGCACUGCAGCAGCCAUGCCGGGCCUGCUCCACAUCACACUGACUGCUCUCCUGGCCGGCUGCUUUGCCUUCAGAUCGGGUCCGUCCCAGCGUGUCAUAGCCCUCAGUUCUCCUGUGGCUCGUCUAUUCUGGGAUGAAGGCCCGGCCCAGCCACACUUCAUCCAGGAAUUAGUCAGAACCAAACGCCACUCAGUCCCUGAGUUAGUCCGAGCCCAGCCUCAUUUGGUUCACGACAUGGGCUGGCCAGAGAUACAUGAAACGUCACGCUCCCAGGCCAAGAUGGACUCCGCUUACUCCUCUCAGGCGAACCCACCAUCGUCUGCCGGUCUUCAGGAUGUAGUCAGGACCCGCCCUGCUGUGGGUGAAAACCUCGAUGUGGAAGACAAGAUGGAGCGCAUGGUUCAUCUGGCGGUUCCCCAGGACGCACAAAGCUACCGGGGGGGCUCAGACUCCACCGACCCAGAGCAGGAGCUCCACGGUGGGCCAGGAGCGGGCGAUGCCUCCCUGGAGGCUUCAGGCUACUACGGAACGGACAUGGAGGACAGAGACAGAGGAGAGGAGGGAGGAGAAGACCGAGAGAGGAGAGGGGGAGAGGACGAGUGGGAGAGAGACACGGUGGAGGACAGAGAGAGGAGUGGGGGAGAGGCCGGAGGAGAGGAAGAAGAGAGGGGAGGAAGGACACAUGGUCAAGAUGUUCAUGCACUGGAUGCCAAUCACACAACUCCAGAUCUGGACGCUCUGAUUGGCUACAGUCCAUCUUUACAACCCUCCAGCUCACCCAACCAGCCCAGCAUCUCCCCCCCAGCUGCGGUGCAUGAUUCUGGGCUACACGAGCAUCGUGCUCCCCCUGUGCUGGAGGUGGGUCCUUUAGAGAGAGAGCUGUGGGAGGCGGAGCCGGAGGAAGCUGGUCAUUCCAGUGGCUACGGAGUCCUUCACUCCUCCGUCACCACUUCUGCUCCGACCGCUGCUGUGGGCGACGCCGCGGGAACGGCCACCCCGGAGACGGACACGGGCACAGACUUUGGGCUGCUGGGGAGUUACACGAAAGGUAAAUGAAGUAAAAAGUACAUGAAGUUUGGUACGAACAUGCGUUUCCCCCGGA